CUGAAAUUUAUCGAAAAGGUCCCAAAAUCUCAACAACCCGGAAUCUGAUUUUUCAAUUCUCGCUUCACCGUGUCUCAAGAACUCACCACCACUCUGUAAUAAUACGAUGUGUGAAUCAACGAUUUUGGUGUUCUUGAUACAAUUUGCAAUCCGUUCUUGCUCAAGUUUCGCUUGAAAUUUCAGAACCAUGAAGCAAGAUGAGGAAUUUGAAAACGCUUCUCCUUCGCAUCGGCGAAAAGGGUCCUGAUUACGGCACUUCCUCCAACUACAAAGACCAUAUCGAGACUUGUUCUGGUGUUAUUAGGAGAGAAAUCGAGCGUUCUGGAGACCAAGUUUUGCCUUUGCUACUUCAAUGUGCUGAACAGUUGCCUCACAAGAUUCCUUUGUGUGGGACUUUGUGACAAGCUGCUACAGUUAAUUGAGAUAUGAUUCCGACGAUGUCAACAACAUAAGUGUGUGUGCGUAUGUACGCACACCACAUAUAUUAUGCAAUGAAGGAAAAGUAGUUGCGUUGGAUAGCUUUUGCAUGCGUCUCAUCAUGCUGCCGUUGGCUGAGCUGAAGAUGGACAUGUUCGCUUGAGUUAUCUCUCAUGUCUAGACCAGUUGUGAGAAGAGAAUUUUUGUUUGUGAUUUUCACACCCUCAACCUCUGAAACCUAGAAUAAGCACACACAUAUUAUCCUCAGAUAAGAGAAAAAUUGUUCUAUCAUGUGACUCCUAGAUGCUUCCCAAAACCUCAA